rnacentral:lncRNA from 1 species
AAAUUUGGUGCCACGUAUCUUUUAUCAGACAUGGGUCCACUGUUAUUCCUCUCGCUUCAAGAUUCUUUCUGACAGUUGUCACUUCAUCAUUUGCCAGAUAUGCUGCAUGUUCUUCAUUGCAUUUGAUUAACUUCUCAAGUUCAUUUUUUGUUUCAUUACGUAUAUUCUGCUCUUUGGUGCGGCUUAUCCAGUAUAGCCACCUCUUUUUC